rnacentral:rRNA from 1 species
AUUGAACGCUGGCGGCAGGCCUAACACAUGCAAGUCGAGCGAGCGGGGGACGGGUGAGGAUAGGAUGGGGAAUGCUCGCUAGAGGGGGAUAAUAACGGGAAACGGUUGCUAAUAAUGCAUACUAUCGGAUAACCCUUAUGGGGUUAGCUAGUUGGUGGGGUAAUGGCUCACCAAGGCGACGAUCCCUAGCUGGUCUGAGAGGAUGAUCAGCCCCACUGGGACUGAGACACGGCCCAGACUCCUACGGAGGCAGCAGUGGGGAAUAUUGCACAAUGGGCGCAAGCCUGAUGCAGCCAUGCCGCGUGUAUGAAGAAGGCCCUAGGGUUGUAAAGUACUUUCAGUCGGGAGGCGUUACCGACAGAAGAAGCACCGGCUAACUCCGUGCCAGCAGCCGCGGUAAUUC